rnacentral:tRNA from 1 species
UCCGGGAUAGCUCAAUUGGCAGAGCAACCGGCUGUUAACCGGUAGGUUGCGAGUUCGAGUCUCGCUCCCGGAG